rnacentral:rRNA from 1 species
GACGAACGCUGGCGGCGUGCUUAACACAUGCAAGUCGAACGGAAAGGCCCUGCUUUUGUGGGGUGCUCGAGUGGCGAACGGGUGAGUAACACGUGAGUAACCUGCCCUUGACUUUGGGAUAACUUCAGGAAACUGGGGCUAAUACCGGAUAGGAGCUCCUGCUGCAUGGUGGGGGUUGGAAAGUUUCGGCGGUUGGGGAUGGACUCGCGGCUUAUCAGCUUGUUGGUGGGGUAGUGGCUUACCAAGGCUUUGACGGGUAGCCGGCCUGAGAGGGUGACCGGCCACAUUGGGACUGAGAUACGGCCCAGACUCCUACGGGAGGCAGCAGUGGGGAAUAUUGCACAAUGGUCGGAAGCCUGAUGCAGCAGCGCCGCGUGCGGGAUGACGGCCUUCGGGUUGUAAACCGCUUUCGCCUGUGACGAAGCGUGAGUGACGGUAAUGGGUAAAGAAGCACCGGCUAACUACGUG